rnacentral:rRNA from 1 species
UGGGGAAUAUUGCACAAUGGGCGAAAGCCUGAUGCAGCAACGCCGCGUGAGUGAUGAAGGUCUUCGGGUUGUAAAGCUCUGUCUUUUGGGACGAUAAUGACGGUACCAAAGGAGGAAGCCACGGCUAACUACGUGCCAGCAGCCGCGGUAAUACGUAGGUGGCAAGCGUUGUCCGGAUUUACUGGGCGUAAAGGAUGCGUAGGCGGAUUUUUAAGUGAGAUGUGAAAUACCCGGGCUUAACUUGGGUGCUGCAUUUCAAACUGGGAAUCUAGAGUGCGGGAGAGGAGAAUGGAAUUCCUAGUGUAGCGGUGAAAUGCGUAGAGAUUAGGAAGAACACCAGUGGCGAAGGCGAUUCUCUGGACCGUAACUGACGCUGAGGCAUGAAAGCGUGGGUAGCAAACAGGAUUAGAUACCCUGGUAGUCCACGCCGUAAACGAUGAGUACUAGGUGUAGGAGGUAUCGACCCCUUCUGUGCCGCAGUUAACACAAUAAGUACUCCGCCUGGGAAGUACGAUCGCAAGAUU